rnacentral:rRNA from 1 species
UACGUAGGUGGCGAGCGUUGUCCGGAUUUACUGGGCGUAAAGAGCGCGCAGGCGGUCGGAUCAGUCGAAUGUGAAAGCCCCGGCUUAACUGGGGAGGUCAUUCGAUACUGUUCGACUCGAAGGCAGGAGAGGGAAGUGGAAUUCCCGGUGUAGUGGUGAAAUGCGCAGAUAUCAGGAGGAACACCGGUGGCGAAGGCGGGUCUCUGGGCCGAUACUGACGCUGAGGAGCGAAAGCGUGGGGAGCGAACAGG